AUUGAACGCUGGCGGCAUGCCUUACACAUGCAAGUCGAACGGUAACAGGUCUUCGGAUGCUGACGAGUGGCGAACGGGUGAGUAAUACAUCGGAACGUGCCUAGUAGUGGGGGAUAACUACUCGAAAGAGUGGCUAAUACCGCAUGAGAUCUACGGAUGAAAGCAGGGGAUCGCAAGACCUUGUGCUACUAGAGCGGCCGAUGGCAGAUUAGGUAGGUGGUGGGAUAAAAGCUUACCAAGCCGACGAUCUGUAGCUGGUCUGAGAGGACGAUCAGCCGCACUGGGACUGAGACACGGCCCAGACUCCUACGGGAGGCAGCAGUGGGGAAUUUUGGACAAUGGGCGCAAGCCUGAUCCAGCAAUGCCGCGUGCAGGAUGAAGGCCUUCGGGUUGUAAACUGCUUUUGUACGGAACGAAAAGCCCUGGGUUAAUACCCUGGGGUCAUGACGGUACCGUAAGAAUAAGCACCGGCUAACUACGUGCCAGCCGCCGCCGUAACAC
rnacentral:rRNA from 1 species